rnacentral:rRNA from 1 species
AGUACUGGACCUCGCGAUGCAUCUAGAUUAGAGUUUGAUCCUGGCUCAGGACGAACGCUGGCGGCGUGCUUAACACAUGCAAGUCGAACGAUGAACCACUUCGGUGGGGAUUAGUGGCGAACGGGUGAGUAACACGUGGGCAAUCUGCCCUGCACUCUGGGACAAGCCCUGGAAACGGGGUCUAAUACCGGAUACUGAUCCUCGCAGGCAUCUGCGAGGUUCGAAAGCUCCGGCGGUGCAGGAUGAGCCCGCGGCCUAUCAGCUAGUUGGUGAGGUAACGGCUCACCAAGGCGACGACGGGUAGCCGGCCUGAGAGGGCGACCGGCCACACUGGGACUGAGACACGGCCCAGACUCCUACGGGAGGCAGCAGUGGGGAAUACUGCACAAUGGGCGAAAGCCUGAUGCAGCGACGCCGCGUGAGGGAUGACGGCCUUCGGGUUGUAAACCUCUUUCAGCAGGGAAGAAGCGAAAGUGACGGUACCUGCAGAAGAAGCGCCGGCUAACUACGUGCCAGCAGCCGCGGUAGUACGUAGGGCGCAAGCGUUGUCCGGAAUUAUUGGGCGUAAAGAGCUCGUAGGCGGCUUGUCACGUCGGUUGUGAAAGCCCGGGGCUUAACCCCGGGUCUGCAGUCGAUACGGGCAGGCUAGAGUUCGGUAGGGGAGAUCGGAAUUCCUGGUGUAGCGGUGAAAUGCGCAGAUAUCAGGAGGAACACCGGUGGCGAAGGCGGAUCUCUGGGCCGAUACUGACGCUGAGGAGCGAAAGCGUGGGGAGCGAACAGGAUUAGAUACCCUGGUAGUCCACGCCGUAAACGGUGGGCACUAGGUGUGGGCAACAUUCCACGUUGUCCGUGCCGCAGCUAACGCAUUAAGUGCCCCGCCUGGGGAGUACGGCCGCAAGGCUAAACUCAAGGAAUUGACGGGGGCCCGCACAAGCGGCGGAGCAUGUGGCUUAAUUCGACGCACGCGAGACCUUACCAUGCUUGACAUACACCGGAACCCUGAGACAGGUCCCCUUGUGUCGUGUACAGUGUGCAUGCUGUCGUCAGCUCGUGUCGUGAGAUGUGGUAGUCCGCACGAACGCAACCCUGUCCUGUGCAGCAGCCUGUGGUGCUGGACUCCGGGAGACCGCGUUCACUCGAGAGUUGCAGCUAGUCUAUGCCCUAGUCUGGUACAACUUGCGUACAAAUGU